GAUGAUAUCAUCACCAGUGCUGAUGACUUCAUAUGAUGCAGGUUUACAUCUGGCACAUCUGUGGAAUUCGACAUUGAAUCAAUGCACAGGACAGAUACAAAGAGAGAAGAUGAAUCUGUUUCAAACUGCAGUUGGAAAAAAAUGGACGCUGAUGUCAGGAAGUGUAUUUUAUGGCCGAGUGAGAAAACGGGUCUAAGGUUCAACUGUUGCGUGACUUCACCCGGCUCCACAUGAGCGAGAACCCGCAGCGACUCCCUGGUCUCCCACAGGCCAGUCGGGCUAAAGCUAAUCUCCUUAGCAGUCACAGGUUUGACUGUUUGAGCAGAGUUCAAAGUUCACUCUGUCAGCAACAACAGGUUGGAUUUCUACCAACGUGGGAGACGAGGACUAAAUGAACGGCUGAAAGGAGAGACGGGACCAGGACCAGAACCAGGACCAACAGCCAUGGAGUCAUGAGUUCUACCUCAGGACAGAAGCAACAAUCCUUUUCCCCUUUGGGUUGUUUCAACUCUCUGCACCGAAGGAAUUUUACAAACACUACACGUUCCGUCACGACCGCAGCGUCGCCUUCAGACCUCUACUUAAAUUCAAGCCACUGGUGACCAACGGUGAUAUAGGCGGCGGCAUGGCGGCUCUGAGCGGCCCCUGGGCGGACGCGGCUCUGCUGCUGAGGCAGGCGGCCGCUCCUCCUCUGUGGCUCCUCGGCCUCCCGCUGUUCCUGUCCGUGUGCCUGCUCCUGCUGCAGCUCAUCGUGUACCUCAGCUGGAAACUCAGACAAGUUGAGGCAGAACUGCGGGAGCACUCGCGGGGCAGAAGCGCCACCUACAGGCAGGUGAGCAGAAACGCACACCUGAGGAGGAGGAGCAGGAGCGAAGGGUCGACUCUGGGAGACUGAGGACGUCUGGCUGCGCUGCCAGUCACGAGAUGAGACUGUUUGGUGGAGUGAAUAAACCCCCAGAAGGAACCUGGAGGCUUUUAUUC
rnacentral:lncRNA from 1 species